AUUGAACGCUGGCGGCAGGCCUAACACAUGCAAGUCGAGCGGCGGCGGGAAAGUAGCUUGCUACUUUUGCCGGCGAGCGGCGGACGGGUGAGUAAUGCCUGGGAAAUUGCCCAGUCGAGGGGGAUAACAGUUGGAAACGACUGCUAAUACCGCAUACGCGCUACGGGGGAAAGCAGGGGACCUUCGGGCCUUGCGCGACUGGAUAUGCCUGGGUGGGAUUAGCUAGUUGGUGAGGUAAUGGCUCACCAAGGCGACGAUCCUUAGCUGGUCUGAGAGGGUGAUCAGCCAAACUGGAACUGAGACACGGUCCAGACUCCUACGGGAGGCAGCAGUGGGGAAUAUUGCACAAUGGGGGAAACCCUGAUGCAGCCAUGCCGCGUGUGUGAAGAAGGCCUUCGGGUUGUAAAGCACUUUCAGCGAGGAGGAAAGGUUGAUGCCUAAUACGUAUCAACUGUGACGUUACUCGCAGAAGAAGCACCGGCUAACUCCGUGCCAGCAGCCGCCGUAACAC
rnacentral:rRNA from 1 species